UGAGGAAUAUUGGUCAAUGGGCGAGAGCCUGAACCAGCCAAGUAGCGUGAAGGAUGAAGGUCCUACGGAUUGUAAACUUCUUUUAUAAGGGAAUAAAACGCUCCACGUGUGGAGCCUUGUAUGUACCUUAUGAAUAAGCAUCGGCUAACUCCGUGCCAGCAGCCGCGGUAAUACGGAGGAUGCGAGCGUUAUCCGGAUUUAUUGGGUUUAAAGGGAGCGCAGACGGGAUGUUAAGUCAGCUGUGAAAGUUUGCGGCUCAACCGUAAAAUUGCAGUUGAUACUGGCGUUCUUGAGUGCAGUUGAGGUGUGCGGAAUUCGUGGUGUAGCGGUGAAAUGCUUAGAUAUCACGAAGAACUCCGAUUGCGAAGGCAGCUCACUAAACUGUAACUGACGUUCAUGCUCGAAAGUGUGGGUAUCAAACA
rnacentral:rRNA from 1 species